CGUAGGAACGCACACCCACGCCGGCGCUACGCUGGAAACUAUGCUAUGCUAUACUACGAGCGUAGGAGAACCACACCACGAUGCACAGGGGUUACGCCCAUGCACGCGUGCAUGCAUGUGCAGCAGCAUGCUACACGCAACCUAUCGGUGCAACUCCAGCAGGGCGUCGACUCACGCCCGCUAGCGCUAGCAGGAGGGGAUGCAGAGGGGAGCGGGGAGCUGCGCCUCACCGAGGGUUCACCGAAGGAGAUCCGGCCCCCGAUAGGACGAAACGCGACGUGCUAGUGCCAAAGAAGAUCGUCGGAGCUCGAGGAAGAAGCCGAUCGUCGUGGACGUCGGGGAAGA
rnacentral:lncRNA from 1 species